GGCUUUCUUGAACUGUGAACUCGCGGGGAUGGGGAUUCCCUGGAUUGUGGCGCUCCUGCCUUCUCUUCGGCCGUCUCCGCCUGUUGAUGGUUCAAGAAAGCCC
rnacentral:pre_miRNA from 1 species